AUGCAAAGUAAGCAUGUGAGUGCUAAUUACCUAUCGCUUACCCGAAUUCAGAGCUCUCCAGGAGCGUUCGCAGAUCUUCCCCGCAGCGUGUCUGAUGCUGCCGCAUUCUACCGGGCCGAGGAGGGGAGCUCAACGGAGAAGGUCUUCUGGUCUCAGUAUACUGAGGCCGGACAUCCGGUGUCCCUUAGAGACCAGCUGAAGCAGCUGGUCGAGCUCCACAAGGCGGCCAAACAGGCCAUGAAGGGCCUCAUAGUUCGGCUGUGGCCUAAGGAGGCUAUGCCUGGGGACUACUUCGGCCUGGUGCGGCAGCUGGUGGACGCGUGCCCGUGGGUUGAAGUUAUCAAGCACUCCGCCUGUAUCGAGGGUGCGCGUCGGGCCCUUGCCCGCGCAAAGGUGCACUGGGGCAAGAUGGAUGCCCAGAAGCUUGUGACGGACCCCCCACUAGAGGGCAAGGAGCAUCGCACGCCCGAGAUGUAUUAUAGGAGUGUGCUGAAGGGUGCCCGCACUAUUGCGGGUGAGUGCUCCAAAGAUGUAAUAUUUGAGUAG
rnacentral:rRNA from 1 species